rnacentral:rRNA from 1 species
AGUAACGCGUAGGAACCUGUCCUUCUGUGGGGGAUACCAGUGGGAAACCGCUGUUAAUACCGCAUGUGGUCAUCGUGGGAGACUGCGAUGAAGAAAGGCGAGAGCCGCAGAAGGAGGGGCCUGCGUCCGAUUAGUUAGUUGGUGGGGUAACGGCCUACCAAGGCCGCGAUCGGUAGCUGGUCUGAGAGGAUGGUCAGCCACACUGGGACUGAGACACGGCCCAG